rnacentral:rRNA from 1 species
GUCUACGGCCAUGCUACCCUGAACAUGCCUAAUCUCGUCUGAUAUUGGAAGCUGGAGGAUCAGGCCUGGUUAGUACUUGGAUGGGAGACCACCCAGGAAUACCAGGUGCUGUAGGUG